rfam:Triticum urartu cultivar G1812 contig781102, whole genome shotgun sequence.
GAAAUACUCCUUUCGUUCGAAAAAGUUUGUCCCAAGCUUGUCUCUUAAAUGGAUGUAUCUAGCAUCAGAUUAGUGCUAGAUACAUCCAUUUGAGGGACAAACUUUUUCGGACGAAGGAAGUAUUAU